rnacentral:tRNA from 1 species
GAAGGUGUAGCUCAGGGGUACAGCACGUGCGUAACAUGCAUGAGGUCCUGGGUUCAACCCUCGGUACCUCCA